CAUCUACCCGCCUUGGCCUCCCUCAGUGCUAGGAUUACAGGUAUGAGCCACUGUGCCCAGCCAACAAGGUGAAUUUUAAAAAUAUAUGUAGGAGGGAGAAUCCACAGGACCUGUGGACGUUCAUUCAUUCAAACAUUUCUUCAGUGUCUAUAAUGUACCCUGUAGGGGAUUAAGCAUGAGAAAACAAACAUAACUUCUGCCCUUCAAUAACACAUAGUAUAACUGAGUAGUCAAAUAAAUCUGCAAUUACAGUACAGUGUCAUGAGUGCCCUAGUAAAGGUUUGGAAAGAGCACAGAGGGCAGCUCUGAAUAAAAUUGGGGGUAGGCAGGGAAGGAAGAGGCAGCGUUUGAUUGAGACUUGAGAAGGAUGGUCCAGGUUCACAGUGGGAAGGAGGAUGUCCAGGCAGCAGGAUCAGCAGAGGUAAAGGUCAUGUAUUAAUGGCAUGGUCCUGAGCACUUUGACUUGCCUGUGGGGUGGCAGGCAAUUUUGUGUACUAUGGAAGGUGACACAGGGGAUAGAGUUUGAGUUGACUGGUACAUUCUCCCUUCAUUUUUAUAUUUGUUAAUUCUUCAUGUGUGCACAUACUAGAUUUUAAGUUCCUUGAGGGUCGUGACAUCAUCUUAGAUGUCAUGAAUGCUAACAUUGACCUUGUCUAUUACAGUUGUUCAGUUAAUGUUUAUUGAGUGACCAGUCUAGAUUAUUAUGACAUUAGGCUAGAAUUAGUGCGUUUCUCCUCUUACUGUGGUUAAUGUAGGACUGUCAAAUCUAAUAAAGAAUUAUUCUCUUCACUACUUUUUCAUUGUAAUGUCUUGAAGAAAAAUGAAGCUAUCCAUGAUAUAGGCUAGCCCAAUCAGUUUGAUUCUUUGUCAAAUAAUAAUUUGGGGCAACAAAAAGACUUGAUUAAAAUAAUAGUUUUUAACAUGAUUGUUUUGUUGAGCUUAUAUAAGUUGAAAACUUAUUUCUCAUCAAACAGGAUGGAUAGCCUCACUUCAAUAGCCGCACUUCGGUGUUCCUUACAUUCUGUCUCUGAAAAUGACCACGCCUAAAAUAGGAACACCUCAAGGAUCUGGGAGCCUCCAUUAGCUGAUGCUUACAAUUGGAGUUUGAACUGAGCAAAAAAAUCAUCUGGGUAAUUUUAUUUAAUAAGCGCUGUUCACCUACUAUAUUUUUUUGCUAUGAUCUUAAUGUCUGUAUCUCCCCAAAUUCAUAUGUUGAAAACUAAUCCCCAAUGUGAUGGUAUUAGGAAGUGGGACCUUUGGGAGGUGAGAGCUCCCAUGAAUGGGAUUAGUGACCUUAUUAAAAAAAGAAACCCCAGGGAGCUGCCUUGUUCCUUCUCCCAUGAGAGGUUAUAGCAAGAAGAUUAACCCUCAACAGACAUCAAAUCUGCCGUGAUCUUGGACUUUCCAUUCUCGAGAAUGGUGAGAAAUAAAUUUCUGUUGUUCAUAAGGUACCCAGUUUAUGGUAAUUUGUUACUGUAGCCCAACUGGACUAAAACAAGUUUAGAAUAUCCAUUUACAUUUUAUAAUAGACAAAACACCAAACAACAAUAACAAACCCAAGGUUUAUGUGUGUAUGAAGCCCUGCUCUGGUGUCCCACUGAAUGCAGCUCUGGAGAAGGCUGUGGUUAACACUGCAGGGGCCUCCAGAGGGCUUGGCCUUAGGUUUGCCUGGAAUCUGCAAUCCCAGAGGCCUAUCCUAGGAUCCAGGAUCCAGGGAUGUGGGUAGUGUCCCUAAGAUGAAGACCCUCCUUCAGUUUGUUUGACUUCUGUGAUCACAAGCAGCCAGAUGGGCUGCUUGUGAGGUAGGAGAUAUUUCUCUUGUGGCUUAUGGAAUGAGUACUGUGCUUUUGCAGUGACUGGCACUGUGCUGAUAACUGCAAAGAAGCAAGACCAUGAGUGAUGAAGGGCUCAAUGGGGGGUAUGAUGAUUCUGGAGGUGGUGAUCUGGGGAAUAGACAGGGAAGAUGGCAUGGAAGAGAUGUGGUCUGAGGCGGCCUAGAAGGAUGGUUAGAGUCUGGUUUAGGUAGAGGAGGGUUGAUGGCUUCUCUAACAGGAUCCAUCUUCUUAGAGAUACAGAUGGAUAGCAGAAUGGUAGGAUGGAAAUUGCUGUGGCAUCUUUCUUGAAUGGCACAUCAAAGCCCAGACCUGUUCACUCAGGAGAGAUUUUGGGAUGGAGAACAGUGCUUUGUCUCUUAAAGAUUCUUACAUUUCAUGUGACACUUUAGCAUUUAAACUUCAUGCUUUCAAAUUACCAAACUGAGAGUUCAGAGGAAAAGACAAUAAAGAGUGCAGGCACUCAGUCAGUUGACUUGAGUAAAGCCAAAUAUUUGGGCCUCAUUAGAAUCUUUCUUUUGGUUUGUUAUCUCUUCAGGGAAUACUAUAAACGAGGAAGAUAUGCCUGGGUCCCAGGGGUCUAUUUUAACCUGCCGUUUAGAGCUUGCUUUAUUGACAUUUCAAAUCACCUAAGCCAGUGAACACAUUCGUGAUGACCCUGAAGCUGAUCAUGGGGGAAAAUGUUUUAUAAAGCUAGGGGCAUCCUUUGGGUAGAUGAAGCAGAUGAAAUCAGGACAAAAUGAGCACAUUAAUGAGGGUUGAGCAUAGGCCAUAAGAAAUAUUAAAAAACAUAUAAAACUGUCAUCAAUGAUAAAAUGUUCUCAGCUAUUAGUAAGUUACUGAAAUAUGUCAAAUACUCUUCUGAUUCUUGACUUGUUCUCUUUGAGUAAUGAGUCACUGCAGUUUCUGCAGCCUUGGAUGGAGACCAGUGUACACAGGGCAGAGCACUGAGGAGGCACUCAGUAAAUGUUCACAGAGUGAAAGAUACAAUGAGAAGACAGCCUUCUGCAAACCAGGAAGAGGGCCCUCACCAAACACCAGGUCUGCUGGCUUCUUGAUCAUGGACUUCUCCGUGUCCAGAAUUGAGGUUAGGACACAGGCAUAUAUGGAGGGAAGACCAUGUGAAGACACAGGGAGAAGACAGCCAUCUGCAAGCCAAGGAGAAAAGGCACCAAUCCUACUGGCACCUUGAUCUUGAAGAAACCAACCCUACUGGCACCUUGAUCUUGGACUUCUAACUUCCAGAAUUGUGAGAAAAUAAUUUUUUAUUUUUUAAGCCCUCCAGUUUGUGGUACUUCAUUAUGGCAGUCUUAGCAACUGAGUACAGAUGGUACCUACAUUCUAGAACUCUUGAGAAGCUCUGGACUAGGGAACAAUAGGUACAGUAAAGGGUAUACAGUCUGUUGAGUAAAUAUCAGCUGAUAUUUUGGAAAAUUCUCAGUCAUUAUUGCUUCAGAUAUUUCUUCUGUUCCUUUCUGUCUUCUUCUGGUAUUCCCCGUAUGUGCAUGUUACAUCUUUUGUAAUUCUCCCACAGUUCUUGAAUAUCCUGUCUUUUUUCUUCUUUUUUCUCUUUGCAUUUCAGUUCAGAUAUUUUGUGUUCUACAUUUGGGCCUGUGAUUUAUUUCAAGUCAAGUUAUGUAAAAAUUGCACCAGCUAAUGCAUUGUCUAGACCUUCCAUCAUUAUGCAGAAUAAAGAAUGGUGAGAAUAGACAUUCUUGCCUCGUACCUUAGGGAGAUCUUAGAGAGAAAGCAUUCAUUCUUUUAUCUUAUUAAGCAUAACUAGCUGUAGGUUUUUGUAAAUAUUCUUUAUCAAGUUGAGGAAAGCUCCCUCUAUUUCUUUUUUUCCCCUUUAUUAAAAAUAAUAAAUUUAGGAACAACCCUACCUUUUCUCUCCAGGAAAGUCCCCUCAAUUUCUGUUACUCAGAGAGUUUUUAUCAAGAAUCUCUGUUAAAUUUUUUCAAAUGCUUUUUCUGCAUCAAUUGGUUUGACCAUAUUUUUUUUUUAUUAGCCCAAUAUGGUAGAUUAUAUUGAUUGAAUUUUAAAUCUUGAACUAGACUUGCAUCCCUGGAAUAAAUCCCAUUGGGACAUGAUGUAUAAUUCAUUUUAUAUAAUGCUGAAUUCUAUUUGCUAAUAUUUUGUAUCUGUGUUUAGGAAGGAUAUUAUCUGUGGUUUUCUUUCUUUUUUAAUAUUUUUUGUCUGGCUUUGGGAUUAGGGUAGUAGGAUAUUAAAAAAUGAAUUAAGAAAUCUCUAUCUUCUGGAAGAAAUUAUGUAGAAUAGAUGCUUAUUCUUAUUUAAACAAUAGGUCAGAUUAUCCAGUGAAACAAUCUGCACCUAGAGAUUUAUUUUUUUUGGAGUUUUAAAAUUAUAAGUUAAAUUUCCUUAAUAUUGUAGGCUAUUCAGAUUAUCUAUUUCAUAAUAGGAGAUGUGUGGUUAUUUGUGUCUUUUGAGUUAUUGAUUUAUUUUUUCUGAGUUGUCAAGUUUGUGUGUGCAAUAUUCCCUUAUCCUUUGAUGUCUGUAGGGUCUAUAGUGAUAGUUUCUGUUUUAUUCCUGAUAUUGGCAAUUUGUGUCUUUUCUUUUUACUGUGUAUAAUUUCAGUUAUUUUAUAUUUGUUGAGGUUUAUGUCCCAAUUUAUGGUCCAUCUUGGUAUAUGAUUUGUGGACUCUUGAAAAAUCUGUUGAUUCUGCUGUUGAGGGGUGGAAUAUUUUAUAAAUGCUAACCUGUUGGUUGAUGGUAUUGAGUUUUUCCAUAUCCUUGCUGAUUUUAUGUUUUGUUCUUCUAUCAGUUGUUGACAGGGUGUGGAAAUCUCCAGUUAUAAUUGUGGAUUUCUCUAUUUCUUUUUUCAGUUACAGUAUAUCAGUUUUCGUUUCACAUAUUUUGCAGUUCUAUUUUUGGGUUCACGCACAUUUAGAAUUACUGUGUCUUUUUAGUUGAUUUAUCCCAUUGUCAUUAUGUAAUGUCCCUUCUUGUUUGUGGUAAUUGUCUUUGCUCUGAAGUCUACUUUAUCUGAUAUUAAUAUAGCCAUCCUUGCUUUCCUUUGAUUAAUGUUUGGAUGAUAUGUCUUUUCCUAUUCUUUUACUUUCAAUGCUUUAUAUUGAAGUACGUUUGUUAUAGACAGCAUGUAGUUGGGUCAUGUUAUGUAACUCAACAUGCCAUCUCUGUCUUUUAAUUUGUUUUCAGACCAUUUACAUUAAACAUAAUUACGUUAGAAUAUACAUCUGCCAUUUUAUUUUUUGUUUUCUGCUAUUUUCAUUUUUUUUUGCCUUCCUGUGUGUUACUGAAAUAUAUUUUAGAAUUCUAUUUUGAUUUAUCUGUAUAAUUCUGAAAAAGCAUAUGUCUUAUUUUUUUUGGGUGCUGUAGGUAUUACAUUAUAUAUACAUGACUUAUUGCAGUCUACUGGUGUUAUUUACCAGUUCAAACAAAGUACAGAAACCUUACCUUCCUUUUCUGUCGUCCUCCCCUACUUAGAGUUGUCUUAAAUAUUUCCUGUACAUACAUUUAGAAUCACAUAGGACAAUGCUGUGAUUUUUGUUUCAACCUUUAAACAUAAUUUAGAAAACUCAAGAAGAAAAGAAAAACGUGUUGUAUUUGUU